UGACCCCAUCAGCGGGCGACGGCUGAUGACGCAGGAGCCCGCGCUGGCCGUUGCCGCGACUGGCUUUGCGGAGAGGAGUUGGGGUCCGGGUGUGCGGACUCCGGGUGCAGCAGACCGAGUCGGGUGGUGCUGCCAGGCUGUUACUGAAUUCUUCAGAGAAUCAAAGAAUCUUUUGGAAGAGGGUAUUCUUCCUGCUUUAAAAAAUGAAGACAGUUACCUUCAUCCCGUAUUGUGUGCAUCGGUAUUUGGUGGCCCAGAUGAUGGUAAUAAUUCCAAGAUGCCAGGACGUUCCAGUUCAAGUUCAGGUUCAACUGGUUUCAUAUCCUUCAGUGGCGUAGAGUCUGCUCUCUCUUCCUUAAAAACCUUCCAAUCCUGUAUCAGCUCCGGAAUGGACACAGUGUCUAGUGUGGCUUUGGAUCUUGUGGAAACUCAGACUGAAGUGAGUAGCGAAUAUAGUAUGGACAAGGCGAUGGUUGAAUUUGCUAUAAUGGAUCGAGACCUAAACCAUUAUGUUAAGGCUGUUCAAUCUACAAUAAAUCAUGUAAAAGAAGAACGUCCAGAAAAAAUACCAGAUUUAAAAUUAUUAGUGGAGAAGAAAUUUUUGGCUUUACAGAAUAAAAGUUCUGACAUGGACUUUCAAAACAAUGAAAAAUUUGUACAGUUCAAACAACAGCUGAAAGAACUAAAGAAGCAAUGUUUCUCAUCACUAAGUCUCUGGAUCAAGAGGAGAUAAUUUGUCAACAUGCUACCUUCUGAAAGUUAGAGGGGCCUCCUAAGGAAAAUCCUUCUGAGUCAUUGGGAUUACAGGAGUGCACCACCAAACUGGCAAGAAGAAGAAAUUGUCCAUCUAAUAUGACCCAAGGUGCAUAUCAACUACUUCUUGUGCUGGCCAAAGAAGCAACAUCCUUUCCAAUCCUGGCUGUGUUUGACCUUUCUAAGAGAUGGUUGUAUUGGCUUUGACUUCUAUGAGAUUUUCAUCCUGUACAUUGACACCAGUUUAUUCUCUACCUAAGACAUAAAUUCAUCACACUGACAAGAUAAACAGACUUGUCAGUGAUAAAUCUGACAGAUUUAGACCAUGGACAAGUUAUUUGACUUCUAUUUAUAGCUAAUGAUUAACCUAUUUAUUUUUAGAAAAAUCUAUACAGCGAAGAUACUUUCUUAGCUUUAUUGGCAUAGUUGUGAUGAUUAAAUGAAUAAUAAGGGAAGAUCCUGGCAAGAUAUUUAGCAUAUUAAGUGGUAGCUGCCAACCCAGUCCUAGCAGGUGUGGAUGUAGGUUUUACCUGUGGCAGGUUUUUAGGCAGAGGAACGAUGUGGAAUAGGACUUUGGUGUGCCUGUGAUGUAAGGGCUGAAGGAUAGACCUGGAGCAAGGAAACGAGCUGGCAGGUAGUUUCAGUGGUUUAGACAAAGAUGAAGGCCUCAGUGAAGGUAAUGGGUGGAGAGGAGGAAUCCAGGCUUGGGACUCUUACCAGCAGAACUGACAAUUCUUGGGGACUGUGGUUUAAGAGACAGUGGGAAGAAGUUCAGAAGUGAAGCAUGGCUUUUGGUUUUCCAUAGAAGUCAGUCCAUGUAAAGUACAAGGGCUGUAGAGCAGGAGUUGGGUGUUAGUGUUACCUCUCUUUGAUGCCAUUCCAUACAACAGCAUGUUCAGAUGUGGACACUGCUGGCGAGGACAGAUUCAUUCCACCCACUGCCAGUCACAUAUACGCCAGCUCUCCUCUCGCUGAAUGUGGAGGGAGAGGUCCAGCAUUUGUCUCUUAUCUUCUUUUAACAUUGAGGAUUCCUGGCCCGUGGUAGAACUGAGUGAUAGUUCCUAGUCUGUAGCUUGAAUUUGACUAUCUCCUCUGUAAAAUAGAAGCCGCUUCCUUCCAGUCCCUCUUCAUUCCAUGUGCAGUGCUGUGUUUAGAAACCCCCAGUCUGGGAGGACAGUGGAAAGCAUGGCUUAGGCUGCCAAGGAGGCCAGGUGACUGGGCAGCCAGCUCUCCCCUGGUUUCUGCUCCAUAGUGUACCCUCAGAUCAGAGGGGAAUAUGAUUCCUUUCUCCCUAGCUGAACCUUUCUGCCAGUCCUGUUGCGCUGCCACUUGGAAGAUCCUGGUUGACAUCUCCUGGACUCUUUUUUCUCUGGUGACAGCAAAGAUCAAAUUCUGGAUUUUUAAAUCCUGGUAGGGGCUAGAAAUAGUUGGUCGCGCCUCAUUGUGAAGCCAUCUCAUCUCCCUCGCAAGCACCUCUCUAAAUUUGCCUAGAGAUCUUAGGAUACCUGCCUCUUCCAACAGGCAGAAGUGUAGAUUUGAUGUUGUUAGUGGAAGAAACCCUUCUUGGACCUCUCCCUGAGGCCCCACGAGUAGAGUUAUAAGGACUCUGCUGAGCAAGCAGCAGCACAGUGGGCUCCAUGGAGUUGUGCCAGCACUAGUUGGCCUCAAGUGCGCACCGAGGGCAGACAGCAGCACUCUGUGAGCUGGAUCCAGCCCACAGAUGUGUUGGCUUUGGCCCACACAGUUGUGUAUUACAUAUAUCAAUUAGUUGCAACAUACAAUAAUUGGGAGGUUUCACAUUAAAAUCAGCUUUUCUAACUGGUUUUUUCAGUAUCGUCUCUGACCACGUAUGCUCUGACCACAUGCAAACAGUCUGCCCAGAUGAGAUGGUGGCCCUCCUUUCCACUCUACCUUGCCACAGCCUCCACCUGGCCAAAUCCUAGUCACAUGUUCAUUUCCUAGCCUUGAAGGCAUGAGAGUUUAUAAACCUUCCCACAGAGCCCUGUGCCAUUUCUCUGCAAUAUAAUCCCAAAUGAAAAGCAAAAAUUCUUCUCAUUACACUCUCUGACCUAGUUUUAACAAGGUGCUGAAUAACUAAAUCUCAAGCCUUUGCUAUUGAUUUAAAGAAAGUAAAGCAUUCUUUUUGUCAUUUAUUUCAAAAUCAGAGUUGAAGUUUAUCCUCUCCUGAUAUUCCUCCUGAGUCAGAGAAGUCUGCUUCCUUUGACCCUCUUUAUGGUAGCGUUUUUUGCUGUUCUGGUUUCUUCCAGCAAUACAGGCCAAACAGCAAUCUGACCAUCUGGCCUUGUCCUUAGUCAUCUGCUUUUGGCUGCAGGUAGAUUGAGGUUGUAGUUUAUAUCUGGGGAAGGAAGCAUGGAGAUACAGAGGGGAAACAAGACACGUGUUUCUCUUGAGAAUGGAAAACUGUCCUGAGGCCACGUGAUACACAGGCAUUUGCAAAUUAUUUUUUGUUAAGCAUGUUUUUGAGUUGUAGAUAGACUGUACUUUUUUAUUUUAUUUAUUUUUAAUGUGCUGAGGCGCGAACCCCUAGUGCGUCCCACAUGCUAAGCAAGCGCUCUGCCAUUGAGCUCCAGCUCCAGCCCCAGAUCAUUUUUAUUGUGAAGCUGUUUGCCUCCUCCUUUUUUUUAACCAGCUGCACGGCCAGCCCCCUCCCCCAGGCUCUUUAGCCCACCCAUUUGGGUUAGCAUGCCUCACUUAGUGAAAUCUGCCCCAGCCCGAAUUCUUGCCCCUUUGUGCCAUUUCUUUACUCUGAAGAUGAAAGGGGAAGUGCAUUUCUGUUGCCUCCUGCUAGCCACUUGAGGGCAAUUUGAGCAUGAAAACAGGAGCCAACAUGCAGCGCUUCCUGAAGGAAUUGUGUUGUGGAGGCACAAAGUGGAGUGAUCGCUGGGUGGAAGUGUACAGUUCCUUAAACACCUUGGGAGCUUGGGGCCAAGAGUCACGGCACUGUCAUCAUUGUUUCUCUUUACCAUAGAUAUGUUUUAUUAAUUUGUUCAAAUUCCCAUGGCUCCAGUUUCACAUGAGGUCGUGGACUUCUCAGUCAGAAAGUUUUUAGCAGCUUUGGUAAGUCUGAAAUUUCAGAGUAUUGAGCAAGGCCUACACUGAGCUGCAGCAUGAUCUAAUAAGAUUGGACUGUCAAAACAAGAAGCACCAGUCUGUGGUUCAAAGGUUUUUAAGAAGGAAAUUCAAAGCUCAGCUGUGAGAAUCUCACAAAGAUCAUAAAAUAUGGAGGGUGGAAGCCGAUUUCCUUUUCAUUUCUACUGUAAUAGAUGGGACACUUGUUGCAUUUAAACAGAGACACUGAAGUGGAAUGAGGUAUGAUUAAAUAGAAACAAUAGAUUGUAUCUUUCCAUUCUAUUGGGAAACUCUAAUUGGUUGUGUAAUUAGUAAGGUGAAGCAUCAGAAAAAUACUUGAAACAUUUUGCUAGAGCCCUGAAGGGCCCUCAGGGAGACUAGCUCCAAAAUGUCAAAAGAGACCAUCCAUAAAUCAGACCAAGUUAGACAGGAAGGAGUUGCAUUCCCAGCUCACCAGCUGUGUGAUUUGGGGCAAGUUAUUUAACCUUUUUUGCUCUUUUUUUUUUUUUUUUCUCUCCAAAAUGAGAAUUGGGACAUUAUAGGAUUGUCAUGGGGCUUCAAAGAAAUAAUGUGUGCAGAACGCUUGGAGCUGUGCCUGGCAUCCAGUGAGUGCCCAAUAAAUGAUCCCAGCAGCUAUUAGGUAACAUGGAAAUGUGUAAUCGCCAUGUGGGAUACUCAAAACAGUUUUCAAAAUGAAAACCAGUGUCACGGAUAGUUUUAUUUCUGUUUUCCGUAACUACAUUUAAUCCCCAGUUCCUUUAAGCUCCUCUCAUUUUUCGCUAGUGUCCCUACGAGUAUUUGGUAGUUUCUUGCUCGCCUUACCAUUCUCACAAAUAAAUGCUCAAGACUAAAUCUCAAGGAAGGUUUAGGCUGGUGCUGGGGCUGAGUCACUAUGACCUGCCUGGGCUCCUAGGUUACACCCCUUCCCCUAUUCAUUUAUUGAAGUGUGUAUUCGCAUCCUACCAUCCUACGUCUUGCUGGAUUACAAUGUAACCAUUAACAAGAUGUGUGUAUGCAAUGCCUAUGUGUGUAAUCACUUGUAAUAAAACAUUAAUAAAGAAUAUGGUUUAUUGAUGAAUAUAUAGAGACUACAAGGGAAAAACUCAGUGCUAAUGGUGAUCUCACUUUUAAUAUGUUAGAUAACUACUGCAAAUGAAACCUAAUUGAUUUUAUCAGAUAAAUGGGGUCAAAGUUACACUGCUGCAGUUACUGCUUUCGAACCAUCUCUCUGUGACUUGGGAAGAUUUUGUUCUGGGGACACUACCAAGGCAUUGGCUCUGGCCCACUGGCAGAGGACUUUGAUUUGUGCACCCACAGCUAAAAGCAGAAGCAGGUAAUUCCCUUCUUCUACCAGAUAACAGAAACCAUCAAGGAAACCACUCUCUCCAAUUCUAGAUGGAAUUAGACACCAACCAAGAAUCCUCUUUAACUUCAUUCUUUGCUUCCUUUAAAAUCCAAAAUCCCUGUAGAAGUCUGAUAAAAAUGCACAAAUUAUUUGAUGUUUCAUUUUUCUCAAAAAAUCUUCAAAGAAGGGAAAUCUUUCAGUCACCUUGGACUUUGAGAAACAUAGUCAAUAAAAACAUUUUAUUUGCUCCAACAUAGUUUAUGAUGUCACUAGAAAUUCUUGAUAAAGUUGUCAGCAUGAGUAUGCUGUUCAACUAAUAAGCCAGGCUUUCUUCACGGAGUGUUGUGCAAUAGAUGAGCAUUUCCCCUUUCUUUCCUGUAAAUUGUAGCUUUCCUGUGAUUAGCAUUCACAGUGCUCUCCUGAUGAAGGAAAUGUCAGCUGAAAUCAUCAGGGAUUUCCCCUUGACUGUUUUGGAAACAAUCUGAAGAAUUAAAUGUGUUGCUUGGAAAUUAAGAAAUUUGGAAUAAUUCAUGUGAACCUAAAUGUUGAAACAGAGUCAAGAAGUUAUUGUUGAGAAUAAGAUAAUAUAGCGUCACAGAGGAAUCAAACAACUUUAGAAAUAAUUAUCUCAAAUAUUUAAUAAACUUUAAUGACUUUGCUCCAUGCUUUUCAGAAGAUUUAUUGUUAUAUUUUAAGAACUAAGCUGACAGAAGCAUUAAAAUAACAUUUCAGUUGUUUGGAAAGUCAUUUUUAAAUUUAAUUUUUUUAAUUACUUGGGGUUAAUAAAAAAAAAAAAAACGUUUUUAUAAAUCCUUGUUGCAUCCACGGUGCCACCGGAA